rnacentral:rRNA from 1 species
GAUGAACGCUGGCGGCGUGCCUAAUACAUGCAAGUCGAGCGGACAGACGAGGCGCUUGCUCCUCUCACGUUAGCGGCGGGCGUGUGAGUAACACGUGUAUAACCUACCUAUAAGACUGGGAUAACUUCGGGAAACCGGCGCUAAUACCGUAUAAUCUAUUGAACCGCGGUGGUCAAUAGUGAAAGUCGGUGGUUCGGGCACUUAUAGAUGGAUCCGCGCCGCUUUAGCUAGUUGGUAAGGUAACGGCUUACCAAGGGUACGAUGCGUAGCCGAACUGAGAGGGUGAUAGGCCACACUGGAACUGAGACACGGUCCAGAGUCCUACGGGAGGCAGCAGUAGGGAAUGUUAGGCAGUGGGCGAAAGCCUGACGGAGCAAGGCCGCGUGAGUGACGAAGGCGUUGCGAUCGUAAAACUCGCUUACUAGGGAAAAACAAAUGUGGAAGGAAAUAUGCCCGUCUUGACGGUAACUAAUAAGAAAGCCACGGCUAACUACGUG